UCCGCCGCUGUCCACCGAGAGUCCUCCUGGCCUGUUGGGGGCUGCGCGCAGACCCCGGAGCUAAUGUUUAACAGAAAUCAGAGGUGGAAAAAGACGUUGGAGGAUCUUGUUCCAUUCCACCCGCGUUUACUGCUGCGCCCAGGGGCAGCCACGCUUGGGGCUGGGGGCUUUAGGACACGCACGUCUUUGGCUGGGCUGGAUUCUGAGCUUUAUUUGCUAGCAGAAUGGAGAUAGUCAAGGCGUUACUUGGCUAUUUGAGGGUGGAAGUUCACCUCUUUUUUCCACCUUACCUGGCUACACAGCUUCUGUGCUCAGGGCCAAGUCAGUAGAGGCCAUCAGCCCAUCCAGGCCACCUUCCCACAAUUGAGAUCUCAUUUUAUUAAGACUCCACACAGCUUUCUCCUCAAGAUGCCAGGGGAGAGUGAAAAGAGAGCCACAUCUGAAUUCCUGAUUGCUAACUAUAAGUGGGUGAUCAUGAGCAAGUUACCUAACCUAAACAAACCUGCUUCCUGACCCAAAAAGAAGGACAGAGAGCAGGUAAUAAUAUUUACCUUACUUGGUGGUUGUGAGAACGAAACAGCCUUCGGUAUGUAAUAUUCCCAGCCAAAUGCUGCCAUGGAAUAGAUGCUCCCUGAAUGUUAAUUCCCUUCCUUUCCCUCUCUCUCAUGCUUUCUCUACUAUUCUUACGAAAUGAUAAUCAUAAAGUUUUCAUAAAUAAACAUGC